rnacentral:rRNA from 1 species
GUCAGGCUGCAACCCGCCUGCAUGAAGUCGGAAUCGCUAGUAAUCGCGAGUCAGCAUAUCGCGGUGAAUACGUUCCCGGGUCUUGUACACACCGCCCGUCACACCAUGGGAGUUGGCAACACCCGAAGUCGAUGAGCUAACCUUUUAGGAGGCAGUCGCCUAAGGUGGGGUUGAUAACUGGGGUGAAGUCGUAACAAGGUACC